rnacentral:lncRNA from 1 species
CAGGAGGCUGAAGCACGAGAAUCGCUUGAACCCAGGAGGCAGAGGUUGCAGUAAGCCAAGACUGCACCACUGCUCUCCAGCCUGGGUGACAGAGUGAGACUCCGUCUCAAAAAAAGAAAAAAAAAAUUUUUUUUUUUGAAUAGGGAAUACUUUCGUGUGUUUCAGACUAAAAAAUUGAUUUUAUAUGUAUUUAUAAUUACACACAUAUACGUAUGCAGUAAAGUUUCAUUUUUACUUGUCCUUCAGCCACCAUUUCCUUUCCUCUUACACACUAAUAUUUUCAGUUUCUUAUUUAUCCUUCCAGUUAUUUUAUGGACAUACCAGUAAAUACACACAUAUAUUAAUAUAUCCAGUAUUUUCCCCAUCUCUUUUUUGCACAACCCCUUAAAUAUACUUAAAAUAAAACAGAACAACAAAUUUUUCGUAAACAAAAUUUAAUACAACCAUAUAGUCAAGUAAUAAUGGUUAAAAGACAUUUUAUUAGAUACAACUUUUAAAAAAUUAAACUAUGCAAGAAGUAUAUUUAAACAAAACAUGUAAGUAAGUAUUCACGUGCUACAACUUAACUAAGAACAAUUAAAUACAAAGCAUUCUUUCCACUAUGAAGACUCUGGAGCCUCUAAUUGAAAGCAAAUGACCUUAGGGAAGGGGAGAGUAAGUGCUUUUUCAAAAAGGUAAAUGAAAAAGCCUGAAGAGGGAAAAAAUUGUACAUAAGUAUGGAACAAAAAUAAGUAUACUUUUUUGACAUUCGAUGUAGAUACUGCAAAUGAAUUUACACGGGUUUAAUCAAUGUAAGAUAGAUAUUUGUCUGAAUAUUUUAAAAAGCACCUAGGUAUCAAAAAAUAAAAACAAAAAAUAUAAUGAAACUCCAAACAUCCAACAAUCUCCCUUAACAUUCUCAUUCUGCCAAGCAACCACACGUUGGUGCUUAUUACACAAUUUAAGAAGGGGAAGUUUAUUUACUCUAUAGGAAACAAAUAUGAACCUUAUCUAAGGUAAGCUUCAUUUAGAUUGAAAAAAAAGUUGAAAUAGCACUAGAGAACUUAAGGCACAUAAACAAAUUCAGGUGCAGUUAUUUUGAAACCAUUAAAACAAAUUCUUUUCUUUGGAACAAUAUAUAAAAUAAGUUAUGAAUGUUGCUGUUUUUAUCAGCACUAGGAAAAUUUAAUAUAAAAGGCACACACAAUUCAACUCCUCUCUUUUCAUAUAUGGGUUCUCACAGCAAUUUAAAAAAUCUAUUGCCAUAUCCAGACAACAGGAGAAAAAAAAAAUACCUGGUUUGCUUAUUGACAAAAGUGGUGUAAUUGAACCUUUGUCUUUCCUGAGUUUCAAAAAGGCUAUUUGACAGUAGAGAUACAUAAACAAUUCAUAUUCAGUAAGAUAAAAUGUAUCAGUCCACAAAACAUUUUCAUCUUUUUAAGUAUAAAAGAAUCAAUGUUCAACCACCACCAUGUGUGAAGCCCCUUUUUCCAAAUUAAACUUACUCUAGAAUCAUGAAUUGAAGAUUAUUCAGUCAUGGCACUUUACACCCCAAACGAGCAAAAGUAACAAGUUAAUACCCUCCCUGAGUAUUUACAUCAUCUUAUCACCUGGUUUAAAUGGAGUAAAUACCUAUAUUUCAAUCAUCUAGGAAAUAAAAAGGUUACUGAAGAUCCAAUACACUAGUAUUUCAUACCUGUGCAGUAAAGUCAGUGGGAAGAUUACAGUAGAAAAGGAGGAAGUUCUACUGUUGUAAAAAUUAGACCACUUUUGUAGCUGACUCACAUAGAGGAAAAACAGAAAAUGAUUAAAGUUCAUGAAAAAAAAACUAUACUUUUCUGUUCUACAAAGCAUACCUUUGAAUUCCCUUUCCAACUGAGGUAUCACAGCUGGGUUUAGCAAACUCAUCUCUUCUGACCUUGUAAAACUAAAUUGUCAUAAAGAUUCUGAUUAUACAUAAGUCAUCGUUACUAAUACUCAUCAUGUACUUUCAAAUGUAAAAAGUUCUAGAAAUGCCCAAAUAAAAAAAAAUUCCAGAAUUGAAUUUAGCAUGGUCAACUAAUUUUUACUUUAUGUGCUUUUUUGCUGAUCAUCACAGACUGCUAAAAUUCAUGGUGUUUGGUAUAUAUGUGUGUAUACAACCAUACUAUCUACAUACAUACACAUGUACAUAUAUAGAUUCUAAACCAAAGGUUCAUAUGAGCAUCACCUAUCAAAAGAAAAAUCUUUAUGUGAUGAGAGAAUGAAUACAAUCUGACACCAAUUUGGUUGAUAUACCCCUUUUGAUAUAUUAAUUCUACUCUAAAAUUCUUUUUUAUUUUAUCAAGUCUAAUGCUAUUAUUUAUCAAGAAUUAGUAAAGGAAGAUAAAUAUUAAAAAAUUAAAAUAUUAAGUUGGGUAACUUUAAAAAUAGUUAUUUAAAUUUUCUAAGAUUCAACCUAAGUUCUUGGUGGCCUUCAAUAUAAAUUUUAAGUACUUAAUUUAUGUAGUUUUAAAUUAUGUAGAGAAAAAAUUAAUAUUGGUGUGAGGUCUGUGUUUAAAAAAAUUCUGUUUUUCAGGAUUUCAUUUCAAAUUUACUAUAAUAAACACAUGGAUAUUAAAAUAAAUGUAUAACAAAAUAAAAGUAAAUAGUUAAUACUUUUUACAACAGAAAAAUACUAGAAUAUAAAGUUGUCUUGAGAAAGUCUUUUUUUAUGUGAAGUCCUAUAUUCAUGAAAUGGACAUGAUCUUACAAAUACACAUGAAAAUAACAACUAUCAUUUGUAGAAUCCUCAGCAUUUACAAAAUACUUUUUCACACAUUAUCUCAUUUACUGUAAAGAAUUUCUUAACUAAAUAAUUCUAUUAUCUAUAAGAGUAUAAUGCAGAUGUUUACUCUAAAAUUAAAGUACAAGUAUCCAAACUGUACCUACAUUCUUUCAACUAAGAGGAUAGAAAAUUGUUUUCUGAAUUGUUGUUAUCACAAAAUGGUAUCUAUCAUUUUAAAAUUAUGAUUUGAAAAAUAAAAAUUCCCUAAAAAUUUUUAAGUUUUUUAGAGUUUUCCUCAGAAUGUAGAUUCUAGCUAAGCAUUAAAGUUUAAAAAAUGUCUAUCUGAAAUCUCUGAAUCAUUCUAAAAUGAGAAAACAAUGUAGCUUACCAAUGUUAGGCUUUUUAUUUCAACCUUGGUUUUAACAGAAAUCUGGUGACACUUUAAUUACAUAU